CGUGUGUGUCCAGAUGCCAGCCCAGCUGCCACAGGAGAUCCCUCUUGGAGACUGAAGGACAGGCUCUCAGGCCCAGGCUGAGGCCGACCAGCCCUGAGCCUUAGGGUAGGGGAAUGGCAGCCCCCCCGGAGCUGCAAGACCAGACCCCUGGGGAGGGAGAAGGGCUUCUGAUCGUGAAGGUGGAAGAUUCCUCCUGGGAGCAGGACUCUGCCCAGCAAGAGGACAGCAGGGAUUCUGAGGCCUGCCGCCAGCGCUUCCGGCAGUUCUGCUAUGGGGAUGCAGGCGGGCCUCAUGAGGCCUUCAGCCAGCUUUGGGAGCUCUGCUGCCGCUGGCUGCGGCCCGAGCUGCACACCAAGGAGCAGAUCCUGGAGCUGCUGGUGCUGGAGCAGUUCCUGAGUGUGCUGCCUGGGGACGUCCAGGGCUGGGUGCGUGAGCAGUGCCCAGGGAGCGGUGAGGAAGCCGUCGCCUUGGUGGAGGACCUGCGGAAGAAGCCAGUGAAAGCUUGGCCACAGGGAUUAAACUCUGUCUCCCCGGUCUGGUGUCGGUGCUGACAAGCAUGUUGUGGUUCCUGCACAGGAUGUGCCCUCAGAGGAAGUGGAACCCGAGGCUGCAGUCCAAGGAUCCCAGGCCAAGGGGCCUCCCCCGAAGGUGGGGGCACGAAGCUGGCCGUCUGUACGCUGGGAGCAGCACAGCCAUGGUGCCCAGUUUCCUGCUCUUCUUAAAGAGGGGAGUGCCAGAGAGGCGACGGACACCUGCUUGGCCUCUGGCGUCCAUGGACCUGUGACGUUUGGAGACAUUCCCUUCUAUUUCUCCCUGGAAGAAUGGGGGUCCCUAGACCCUGCUCAGAGGGAUCUCUUCUGGGACAUAAAGCGGGAAAACACCCGGAACGUUGCCCUGGGUUUGGGGCUUAGGAGCCAAAGCGAGCGAUCCCGGCCUGAGGAGGCGCUCCCGGUCCAGGCCGGCGGCGACGUGACUGUGUCCUGGAGCCCUGCGGAGGCCGAGGCCUGGGAAAGCGAGGCCCGGCCGGGGACGGCCCCAGGGCGGGCGGUGGGGGCGCGGCGGGGGCGGCCGCCCACGCGCCGGCGUCAGUUCCGGGACCUGGCGGCAGAGAAGCCGCACAGCUGCGGCCAGUGCGGCAAGCGCUUCCGCUGGGGCUCCGACCUGGCACGCCACCAGCGCACACACACGGGCGAGAAGCCGCACAAGUGCCAGGAGUGCGAGAAGAGCUUCCGCAGCUCCUCGGACCUGGUGCGCCACCAGGGUGUGCACACGGGCCAGAAGCCCUUCUCGUGCUCCGAGUGCGGCAAGAGCUUCAGCCGCAGCGCCUACCUGGCCGACCACCAGCGCAUCCACACCGGCGAGAAGCCCUUCGGCUGCAGCGACUGCGGCAAGAGCUUCUCGCUGCGCUCCUACCUGCUGGAUCACCGGCGCGUGCACACAGGCGAGCGACCCUUCGGCUGCGGCGAAUGCGACAAGAGCUUCAAGCAGCGCGCCCACCUCAUCGCCCACCAGAGCCUGCACGCCAAGAUGGCCCAGCCCGUGGGGUGAGGGCCAGAGCGAGGGGGUGUCUCCCCAGCACGACCUCUUCCCUCCCCCUCGGGAAUUCUCC